rnacentral:rRNA from 1 species
GAUGAACGCUGGCGGCGUGCCUAAUACAUGCAAGUCGAGCGAAGCGGGGACGGGUGAGUAACACGUGGAUAACCUCCUAUAAGACUGGGAUAACUUCGGGAAACCGGAGCUAAACCGGAAACUUAUAGAAGGAUACGCGCCGCAUUAGAUAGUUGGGAAGGUAACGGCUUACAAAGGCAACGAUGCGUAGCCGACCUGAGAGGCUGUUCGGCCACACUGGAACUGAGACACGGUCCAGACGCCUACGGGAGGCAGCAGUAGGGAAUCUUCCGCAAUGGGCGAAAGCUUGACGGAGCAACUCCGCGUGAGUGAUGAAGGUCUUCGGGUCGUAAAACUCUGUUAUUAGGGAAGCGGUACCUAAUCAGAAAGCCACGGCUAACUACGUGCCAGCAGCCGCGGUAAUAC